rnacentral:rRNA from 1 species
UGGGGAAUAUUGGACAAUGGGGGAAACCCUGAUCCAGCAAUGCCGCGUGAGUGAAGAAGGCCUUAGGGUUGUAAAGCUCUUUCGCCCGCGAAGAUAAUGACGGUAGCGGGAGAAGAAGCCCCGGCUAACUCCGUGCCAGCAGCCGCGGUAAUACGGAGGGGGCUAGCGUUGUUCGGAAUUACUGGGCGUAAAGCGUACGUAGGCGGAUGCGCAAGUUGGGGGUGAAAUCCCGGGGCUUAACCUCGGAAUUGCCCUCAAAACUGCACGUCUUGAGACCGAGAGAGGUAAGGGGAAUUCCUAGUGUAGAGGUGAAAUUCGUAGAUAUUAGGAAGAACACCGGUGGCGAAGGCGCCUUACUGGCUCGGUACUGACGCUGAGGUACGAAAGCGUGGGGAGCAAACA